rnacentral:rRNA from 1 species
AGAAUGAACGCUGGCGGCGUGCUUUACACAUGCAAGUCGAGCGAGGCGGCCCGCAAGGGUCAGUCGAGCGGCGAACGGUGAGUAACGCGUGGAUAACCUGCCCUGAGGUGUGGAACAACCAGGGGAAACUCUGGCUAAUACCGCAUGAUACCGAGAGGUCAAAGGGGCUCGCAAGAGCUCUCGCCACAGGAGGGUCCGCGUUCGAUUAGCUAGUUGUAGGUAAUGGCCUACCAAGGCGACGAUCGAUA